GAGGAGGAGUAGACACGCUGACCUCUUGAGAUGCCAUCAGAUUUAAGGUUCCACUGCAGUUGUAGACCUGCGGUCCGGACCCAAGUGAGUGGAAGAGGAAUUGUGACCCAACUGUGACCCAAGAGUAUGGAGUUAGGACCUGCUGCCCUGCCUCGUAGGGCUUUCUGUGCCGGACCGGAGUACUUCAAGCUUUGUAAAGCUGGGCGGUGACAAGGAAAUGGCUAUUCCAUUUCACCGAUGGAAAAACUGACGCCACGAGUGCCUGUUCAUUUCUACUUCAGAACCAGGGCAAGCAUCCGAAUUGUCUGAAGUUCUAUGAAAUCUACUAAGAAUCCAUUAUGUCCGGGAAAAUAUUGCUCUGGUUUUAAGUUAGGUGAGGAAAACAUGCUUGCUUCAAAAAAUGUAUUUGAAUAGUACUGAAGGGGUUCAAGUAAAAUGUUAAUGUCCCAAGCUCAUUCUCAUCUCCUAGGUCCCACCAGUUAUCCUUUGAGAAAUUUCCCAUUUCCGAAUAAACAUGCAUGUUUAUCUCUC